rnacentral:miRNA from 1 species
GACCAACUAAGUUAAUUCUUGGUAUGAGCUUUCGUGUGCAUGCACACUUCUUCAGAUACAAUCCUCUCAGUUUCUUCAGAUACAGAUGUGUAUCUGAAGAAGUGUGCAUGCACACGAAAGCUCAUACCAAGAACUAACUUAGUUGG